GAAGGUGAUGAUGAUAAAGAUGAAAGCUUGACGACUUCGACUGACAGUGAAACCACUGAACUUUC
rfam:Capsella rubella cultivar Monte Gargano unplaced genomic scaffold scaffold_5, whole genome shotgun sequence.